rnacentral:rRNA from 1 species
GAUGAACGCUGGCGGCGUGCCUAAUACAUGCAAGUCGAGCGAACGGACGAGGAGCUUGCUCCUCUGACGUUAGCGGCGGACGGGUGAGUAACACGUGGAUAACCUACCUAUAAGACUGGGAUAACUUCGGGAAACCGGAGCUAAUACCGGAUAAUAUAUUGAACCGCAUGGUUCAAUAGUGAAAGACGGUUUUGCUGUCACUUAUAGAUGGAUCCGCGCCGCAUUAGCUAGUUGGUAAGGUAACGGCUUACCAAGGCAACGAUGCGUAGCCGACCUGAGAGGGUGAUCGGCCACACUGGAACUGAGACACGGUCCAGACUCCUACGGGAGGCAGCAGUAGGGAAUCUUCCGCAAUGGGCGAAAGCCUGACGGAGCAACGCCGCGUGAGUGAUGAAGGUCCUCGGAUCGUAAAACUCUGUUAUUAGGGAAGAACAAAUGUGUAAGUAACUAUGCACGUCUUGACGGUACCUAAUCAGAAAGCCACGGCUAACUACGUG